UACGUAGGGGGCAAGCGUUGUCCGGAAUCAUUGGGCGUAAAGAGCGUGUAGGCGGCUCGGUAAGUCCGCUGUGAAAGUCCAGGGCUCAACCCUGGAAUGCCGGUGGAAACUGUCGAGCUAGAGUCCGGAAGAGGCGAGUGGAAUUCCUGGUGUAGCGGUGAAAUGCGCAGAUAUCGGGAGGAACACCAGUGGCGAAGGCGACUAUCUGGGCUGCAACUGACGCUGAGGCGCGAAGGCUAGGGUAGCAAACAGG
rnacentral:rRNA from 1 species